UACGUAGGGUGCGAGCGUUGUCCGGAAUUACUGGGCGUAAAGAGCUCGUAGGCGGUUUGUCACGUCGGAUGUGAAAUCCCGGGGCUUAACCUCGGGUCUGCAUUCGAUACGGGCUGACUAGAGUUCGGUAGGGGAGACUGGAAUUCCUGGUGUAGCGGUGAAAUGCGCAGAUAUCAGGAGGAACACCGGUGGCGAAGGCGGGUCUCUGGGCCGAUACUGACGCUGAGGAGCGAAAGCGUGGGGAGCGAACAGG
rnacentral:rRNA from 1 species